rnacentral:rRNA from 1 species
GACGAACGCUGGCGGCGUGCCUAAUACAUGCAAGUUGAGCGCUGAAGGUUGGUACUUGUACCAACUGGAUGAGCAGCGAACGGGUGAGUAACGCGUGGGGAAUCUGCCUUUGAGCGGGGGACAACAUUUGGAGACGAAUGCUAAUACCGCAUAAAAACUUUAAACACAAGUUUUAAGUUUGAAAGAUGCAAUUGCAUCACUCAAAGAUGAUCCCGCGUUGUAUUAGCUAGUUGGUGAGGUAAAGGCUCACCAAGGCGAUGAUACAUAGCCGACCUGAGAGGGUGAUCGGCCACAUUGGGACUGAGACACGGCCCAAACUCCUACGGGAGGCAGCAGUAGGGAAUCUUCGGCAAUGGACGAAAGUCUGACCGAGCAACGCCGCGUGAGUGAAGAAGGUUUUCGGAUCGCAAAACUCUGUUGGUAGAGAAGAACGUUGGUGAGAGUGGAAAGCUCAUCAAGUGACGGUAACUACCCAGAAAGGGACGGCUAACUACGUG